AACAGGACCCAAAAGGCUGAGUCUGAUGAAGCAAGAUUUUAACGAUGCACUCCUAGGAACAAAGGGUCGGAGAGACAAGCCCUUAUUUGAGGGGUGGGGUGGGGGGGCACCGGACCACAGGGCUGACUGUAUUAUUCAACAUUA
rnacentral:snoRNA from 1 species